GGGGCCAAAGGAGUGGGGUUGGCAGUUCCAGGUGGAGCCAUGGGGGUUAGACAUGCAGAAAACUCAAAAAGAGAUCUCAAAAGGCCAAUCUACAAUAGUGGUAUUUGCUCUUGUAAUUCAGCUACCAUGUUGUGAGGAAGCUCAGGCAACCCAUGUAGAGGCUUAUAUGGAGAAAACAAAGACACCCAGUCCAGAGCUCAACUGAGCAUCCAGCCAAUAACCAGACCAACUUGAAAGCCAUGUGAGUGAACCAGCUUGAAUGAGUGUCUUCCAGCCCCCACUUGAUGUGAAACCGCCUUUGCAAAAAUUAUAACUGAGAAAAUUAUUAGAGUCAAAGAGAUCUGACCUAACCAACUCCAUCUUGCUUCUAACCUCCAAGUUGUCUUUGUUCAUUCCUGGGCUGAACUAACUUUAGGAGGAACUUUGAUUAUAGUUUAACUUUGAAACAAAGAUGAUAACAGCCCUUUCCCAAAGCAAACCUGCUUCCUGCCUGGGGAAGCUGCCCCACUGCCUUUUUAGGACUAACAAACUAAACACAAGAUUAGAAACUAUGGUUUAGUAGUCAUGCAGCUGAAGGCUACAAGAUUUUGACCCUCCCCAAAUUGCUCCUGGGGAUAACAUCACUACUAUAAAACCUAAGAUCAGUGUUAGGGAUAUUUUGCAGACCCUGCACUUGAUGGAUCAGCUGGCACCAUCCAGAUUGAUAAACUGGCUCAUUUGGUCUCGUGGACCCCACCCAGGAACUGACUCAGUGCAAGAGGACAGCUUGUACUCUCUAUAAUUGCACCUUCAACCCGACCAAUCAGCACUUCUGACUCACUGGCCCCUAGCCACCAAAUUGUCCUUAAAAAACCCAAUCCCCCAAUUUUAGAUUUGAAUAAUAAUAAAAGUCUGGUCUCCCAUACAGCCAGCUCUGAGUAAAUUAAACUCUUU
rnacentral:lncRNA from 1 species